rnacentral:rRNA from 1 species
CAGCAGCCACGGGAAUACGUAGGUGGCAAGCGUUGUCCGGAAUUAUUGGGCGUAAAGGGCUCGCAGGCGGUUUCUUAAGUCUGAUGUGAAAGCCCCCGGCUCAACCGGGGAGGGUCAUUGGAAACUGGGAAACUUGAGUGCAGAAGAGGAGAGUGGUAUUCCACGUGUAGCGGUGAAAUGCGUAGAGAUGUGGAGGAACACCAGUGGCGAAGGCGACUCUCUGGUCUGUAACUGACGCUGAGGAGCGAAAGCGUGGGGAGCGAACAGGAUUAGAUACCCCUGUAGUCCCUGUCUCUUAUAC